rnacentral:rRNA from 1 species
UACGUAGGUGGCAAGCGUUGUCCGGAAUUAUUGGGCGUAAAGAGCGUGUAGGCGGCUCGAUUAGUCCGCUGUGAAAGUCCAGGGCUCAACCCUGGAAUGCCGGUGGAUGCUGUCGAGCUAGAGUCCGGAAGGGGCGAGUGGAAUUCCUGGUGUAGCGGUGAAAUGCGCAGAUAUCAGGAGGAACACCGGUGGCGAAGGCGGAUCUCUGGGCCUUACCUGACGCUGAGGAGCGAAAGCGUGGGGAGCGAACAGG